CUUCUUCACACUAUAGUCUCUCCCUCCCACCCAUACAUUGCCCACGAGUAACAACCACUACUAAUUCUAAUUCAAAAUACUUUCUGGCACAGUGGUUUAAGCAGAGCUACUAAUAGUAAGUACUUAAAAGAGGUCUGAAGACCCUGCAGGGCUGGGCCUGCUACUCAAAAAAGGGACCAAGCUACUCCUAGGUUUCUGUGGCUUUUUUCUUCUUAUCACCUCAUGACCUUGAGAUUCACUUCUAAGAAUCUAAUCCACAGUCUCAGAAGAAAAGAAAGACAUCGAGACAGGAAGCCUGCAUGUCCCUCAGUCUUCAUCGUCCUCCAAAGCCCUCCGACAGAAAUAUCUCCUGAGAUCAACCACUGUUUCUGCCACACACAGAACUCCUCAGUCUGCUACGGUUAAUUAUGUGUGUUGUCUCCUUGUGUGUGCUGCAGUGUCCGAGGGGACAAGGAAUGUGACCUAUUCAUCUUUGUAUUUAGAAAGCAACCCAGCACAGAGUAGAUAUUCAAUAAAUGUUGGAUGGAGCCAUGCA